rnacentral:tRNA from 1 species
GCCACCCUAGCUCAAUCGGCAGAGCGGCUGAUUUGUAAUCAGCAGGUUGGGGGUUCAAGUCCCCCGGGUGGCU